ensembl:lncRNA
UUUUUUUUUUUUUCUGCAAAGCAAGCUGCAAUGUCCCCAAGGGGUUGUGGCAGGUCUUAUCUUCCCAAAACUAUGGCUUUAUUUCUCAUUUUAGAGUUUGCAGUAGCUCAGAGAAGGCCAUUAAUGAGAAUGGAAAUCCAUUUCUACACAAAUCAAAUGUAGCACAGACAGCUAUAUAGACUUCCUCAAGCAUCCAAGGCUGUCAUAAUUCCAUUACUGUGCAGAGACUGUUCAGUAUCAGGAAGAUGAACUCAUUCUCUCUUAAUGCAUUUUCCAUCUCUUCCUAAUAUGACAUUUCACCUCUUCAGAAACUUCACAGAAUUAUGUACAGUGGGGAAGAUUUUUAUUCCCAAGACCCUGAACUUGUAGACCCAAAUCUCAUUUUUAGGUUAGGAUACAGGAUCCAUUUGGCCAAUUUCAGACUUCCAGCCAAACUGAACCUUUAAAAAAAAAUAAUAAUAGUUUUGGAAACAUCAAAAUAUAUGGAAUAAUUAAACAAGAACAAGGCUGUGUUUGAGUUUUUCCACAUUGCUUAUACUGUUACCUUGCUCUUCUUAUGCUAUACUGUGCUAAUUUGGAAGUAAUACAUAAAUUGUACUUAUACCAUUCAGCAUUCUACAUUGACUCAACAAGAAGAUUGAAGAGAAAAUAUGUGGGAAAAAAAUAUUUUAAUAAAAUCCAAAGAAAAUGAUUAUUUUCCAUGCUUCCAGGAGCAGGGCAGCAAUCUCUUUGCUUUUCCUUGAUUAUUCUGAAAAAAUAUAUAUAUACACUUAAAGGAAAAUGGACAUAUAUUUCCUUAAGCAAUUGCUUGAUAAAGGUCUGUUUUAGCAAUGCAACCAAAGAAUUAGUUCAUUAAAAUGGGCGUUGCGUCCAUUCAUGCAGCAGUCUCGCUAUUCCAAGUGGCGCAGUUUGGAUCAUUGAUGUUUCUUUACUGUAUUUGUCCUUUCUGUUCCUCUUUCCCAGUAAAACUUUACCUAAAGGACCUGCACCUACAGAAGUAACAACAUACCCUUGGAUAGCAGCCCAAGUUCUGCUACCCAGACCCAUGUUAGCAGCAAUGCAUGCAAGUAAGCCUUGAAUGCAGCAGGUGGGUGCCAGAGGGCCCAUGUCCCAGCAGGUGAAAAUGAACUCACAAGAUCCUGCAUAUGUGCACAGACAUGCCUAUCUCCAGCAUAGCCAAGUGCUUCACGCAGGUGUGCAUCAUAAAUAUACUCUUUUUAUAGCUUCAGCUCUGCUAGCCACCUUUUCCUUCCCCCUUAUACACUUCUGUUAUUUUCAGAGACUGCAGUCAAGAUAAAUUUUACGCUUCUUGCUCUGGAGGCACUGAGGUUCUUGCUCCUUUGAAGCUUGCUUGUCCAGAGCUGCUCACUUGCAGAGCUGCGAUUGAAAUAGCUCAGGCACUCAUGGCUUGCUUAUGGAACACUCAGGGCUGAAACUUCUUUUUUUCACAGAAAUGUAGCACAGCGUGAAGUGAGUGCCCUGGCACCAGGUGCUCUGCCUGUGCCCUCUGCUGAUGGAGCCAGGUGUUCUCAUGGCGACUGAUAAUUUUGCUUAUUUAAUAAUCGAAGGCCAUUAUGCCCUGAUGAGAUUUGCAGAUGUAAAUCUCGCUCUAGCUGUGCGGAUAACUGCUGAAGGGCACAUGCAUGGGUUAGACCCAUGAAAGUUUGUGCAAAGAGUGUGAAAAUUGCUCUCCAAAGGCAAUCCAGCAGAGGCCUGCUGGAAACCUGCCCCACGCAGCCACAAAGCAGUGAAGGCACUGCAGAGAAGCAUCUGCUUGUAGACUGGGAAGGCAUCCGAGAGGUGAACAUCACCCCAGCACCGUCCCCAGAAGCAUCAGGUAACUCACAUCUUGAAACAGUUGAAUCCUGGCAACCGGCCACCGCGGCAAUUGCUGACAUGGCAGCUGCCCAACGGGUUGGCAAACAAGCUGCACUACCUAGUAAAGGUGGUCUGUAACUAUAGGGUAACGAAAAUUAUACUGGAAACUUUCUGAGCACUUUAAAGUGGUCGAUUUAAAACAGGACCCUGCCCACUGAAAGUGGUCCUUUCUGAAGGCCUCACUGUACUUACCAAUGGUUUGUCCAGAAAAAACAGCGUUACAUGCAUUCUGUGUGGGCUGGGAGGAAUGUUUUCACACUAAUAUUUAUGUGGCAUGCAAAGAUCUAACAGCCAUCCAGAGGGCUUUCAGGCAAUAUUUCAUUUAAAUAUAUGCUGCAGAGAACUCCCAGCUAAAAGCAUGUGAAAUGGCAGGCUCUGCGGGGGCAAGCCAAGCCACGGAGAGGAUGCCGAUAGUGGAGACAGCCUCUGCAUGGUAAACCACCGGCUGUGAAGAGAUAGGCUUUUUUGAUAGGAAUUCGAGCUAUGAAAAGAUUUAAGGGGAAAUUACCAACUAGUCUGGCAUUCAAAUGCCAAAAUACACAGUCAGACUCUUGGCCAUACAAGCUCUUCAAAGGGAGAAGGGAAAUGGCAGGACUUCUCUGUGUAAAGCACGGCCUCUUAAUGUACACAGGAAAUCAUCAGUGAAACACUAGCCCUUAAUCAGGUUAAAAAGAGGCAGUGAACUGAAUGAUUAUACUAAGAACUUCAACUUUGGAGAAGAGGAGAAAGAACCAAAGGAUGUUUUACUUCUUUAUCCAUCAAAGUAAUUAUUAUUAUAGGAUGAGUCCAUUAUGUAUUUUUGGCUAUAUUUUCCUCUAAAAUAGUUUCUUAAGGCAAGGCAGAGACAGCCAGAACCCAAGGCAAACUGUGAGGUUAUUAUGGAAAAACUUUUCCUCCAAAAGGUUUCUACCCAGCUUACCCUGCAGAAGGCCUUCCCAGAGGGACUCCAGUCUGAGGCUCCAGAGCCUGCAUGUUCUACCACAAGAGCCAUUUCCUUUGGCUGUGCUCAUAAUGUUUAUGUAAAUCAUCACCUGGUUUGUCUUCAGAGCUAGCCAGAUUUCUAGAAAUAUGUAGGAAAAUGUAAAAGAGACAGUUAUUUCUUAUUUCUAACUGCAAAGCUAAAAAAGAAUAAAAGAGAGAAAAAGACCCAAGGAGGAAUGGCAUAUAUGAACAGAAUCUCUUCUAUCUUGAGUUUACAUGUAAGAAAAUAGUUCAGAAUAGGAUAAUUUCACACAAAAUGAUUAAAUGUACCAGGUAAAGGUAAGCAAAAAAAAAAAAAAAAAAA